CCCUCGAUCGCUGUGCGAGCGAUUCUCCCUCCCUCUAAUGCAGGAAAUGCGCAAAAGACGUCAGUGUGUGUGAGUGUGUGUGUGUGUGUGUGUGUGUGUGUGUGUGUGUGUGUGUGCACGCGCGCGCGCGCGCGCCACUGUUUGGGGAAAUAGAAAGUUUUGCCGGUUGGGGGAGCAAUACGGGAAAAGUGAGCCGAGCAGAAAAGAGCAGGAGCGGGCCGGCCGGGUCCGUUUGCCGUGGCGCGCGGGGGAGCUGAGGAAGGACUCCGCGCGGAACCCAGGAGUGUGGCGUCGCGGAGGUGCGGGAGCGACUGUCGCAGGCCGAGUCUGUGCUCCUCGGAUCUGCACCAGGAGAGCGGGGUCUGGACCCGGAGAGCAGCGGGCCGCGCUUUUCUCUCGCACCCUGCGGCCAACACUAUCACUUAAAACUGGGCCUGGUGGAAUGGAGGGGGUCGCAAUGUCCAAGAAGACUAAUCACCUUCCCCCACUCUGCCUGGACUGCGGCGGUCACCAGUCGCCCGCGGAGAGCUGGCCUAUUUGUCACUCUGCCCUGGGAUUCUCUACUGUGCCGCGAUGGGGGAGGGGACACCCGGACUGCUGAGCCCUUCGGCUGGGUGUGAGUUUUGAAACCCUCUUUUUUUCCCCCUUGAGGAGACUCUCCCCUCUGGGGAUUUGUUCUGGGCCUGAUUGGGUUGCGAGAACUUGUGGAAGACUAGUAGAACCUGGGCCCGGCCUGGUUCGAAUGUCUGUUUAUUUCUCAAAGUGACUCCUCCUACUUAUGCGGGACCUUGUGUGUGCCCCUUAAGAGGACAAGGCUUGAUCCGCGCCCUGACAACCGGCGUUCGGGCUGCGGGAAAGCCCGAUGCGUCCUCCUGGGGUCCAGUGGCUGUAUCCAUACUAAUUUCCUCGGUAACCUUUAAACUCUCUGGAAGCAGCCGCGACGGCGGCUGGUCACGUGAGGCGAGCCCUGGGCUGCUGGGGAAGAAUUUCCUGGGCCAGGGACCAGGACCGGGAAGGCGGGCGGCAGGGAAUGGCUCUGUGCCGAGGGGGACUGGGAACCUGGGAGCGCCGGGCGGGGCGCGCCAGGCCCCGGGCGCCGCGCAGCGGGAACUUCCAGCCUGCGCCCGGGAAGGGGUUCGUCCCGCAGCUCUCCGCCGUGUGAGUGGAAAAAGAAAACCUCCGCCCUCACCCGAGUGCCAAGGCAUAAUGCUGAACGCUGCGAUGCUGGAGCACAAGACCAUAAGGUACUGUGAGUUUGAAGGAAGAAGGGACGGACAGCAUGCCCUGGCCUCUGGUGACAAGGAAAGGCCCUCGGUUAAAGUGGAGGUAGAAAACGAACCUGGACAAGAGGCUGGAAGAGUUUCUGGUGGACAGAUUUCACACGAACCUCAUGAGACUUGAAAAUGAGUGUUAACUCAGCGUGCUAUCCGCCCUGUACUCAGUACCUGCCUGGGAUCUGUGCCUCUGAGAACAUCUUGCUGUCCUAUGGGCGAGAACUGAUGCAGUAUUGGCUUUGAACUUUCCACUGCAUCCCGGCCUGUGCGCGCUGAAAUUGAAGAAAGUGAACUGCACAUCUGGAUUCCUCUCUCCACCUCUGGAUGGUGUGGGCCAGCCCCCUUGUAGGCCUGCUACUACAGUAGACUGAAUCCCUACUCAUGAGAAAACCUCUUCCCUAAGGGAGCUGCUUUGUCCAGACAUUUGGUCCCAGCAAAGUAACUAAUAUAGAGUUAACUCCCCAUUCAUAAGGGAUUAUCCAGGUAUUCUGUCAGAGCGACGGGAAGUUUGUGGAUACAAUGCCGGGACCCUCACUGUGAGCUUUUGGGUCUCCAUCAGAAGAAGACCACAUGCGGCAGACUGAUGCUGUCUGAUGAAUCUGCUCAGGCAACUCGUGCAGCUGGAAAAUCUGCGAAAGGCAGGAAGGAAUCUGGGGACAAAAAAAUUAAUGCCUGUUGCACAAGCAUCAUGCACUAGAUUCCCACGUUAAAUAAAGAAGAAAAAUCUCACUUGAACCCAU
rnacentral:lncRNA from 1 species